UCUGUAUAAGCCAAGACCUCAAUUAUGUAGUAUGUACUACAAUCACAUGACAACAUAUUCAAAAACGUAUUCAUACAAUAGUAAUAAUAAGAACACUUCCUACUACAUCUCCACAUGGAUGCAAAGUUAUUUACAAACAACAAAGGAGCAACAUCAUCCAAAACAAAACAUAAAACAAAAGAAAAACAUAAUAUAACUCAUAAAAACAUUCUACUAUUAUACAACACAAAAGCAAAGUUAAAUUAUAAAUAUGCUUCAAUAAAAGUAGUUAUUUUUUCUGAAUUGUAUCUAUCAAAAACAGUUUUUCUAGUUCCGUAGAUAAAGCAGAGGUAAGGUAUACAUACACGUCCUUUCUCUGACACAACUCCUGGGAUUACACUUGAUUGUUACUGUUGCUUCAAUCAAAGUAGUGAUGAAAAAACUUGCGAAUACUUCUCAUGAACCCACCUCU
rnacentral:lncRNA from 1 species